rnacentral:rRNA from 1 species
ACGCUCGACACCUACAGGAGGCAGCAGUAGGGAAUCUUCCACAAUGGACGCAAGUCUGAUGGAGCAACGCCGCGUGAGUGAAGAAGGUUUUCGGAUCGUAAAGCUCUGUUGUUGGUGAAGAAGGAUAGAGGUAGUAACUGGCCUUUAUUUGACGGUAAUCAACCAGAAAGUCACGGCUAACUACGUACCAGCAGCCGCGGUAAUCUGAGCGGGCUGGCAAGGC